CAAGUACUCCCUCUGCUUCAAAAUCUUCGUCUUAGAUUUGUCUAAAUACAAAUGUAUCUAAUUACGUUUUAAUGUUAGAUACAUCCGUAUCUUAAAAAAUUUAAAACAAAAAUUUUAGGACGGAGGGAGUAAUAA
rfam:Hordeum vulgare subsp. vulgare, WGS project CAJW01000000 data, contig: morex_contig_39769